GACGAACCGUCCUAACGUUGUUCGGAAUCACUGGGCUUAAAGGGCGCGUAGGCGGGUUCCCAAGUCGGUGGUGAAAUCUUUCGGCCCAACCGGAAAACAGCCGCCGAUACUGGGAGUCUUGAGGGAGGUAGGGGUCGAUGGAACUUCCGGUGGAGCGGUGAAAUGCGUAGAUAUCGGAAGGAACGCCGGUGGCGAAAGCGAUCGACUGGACCUUUUCUGACGCUGAGGCGCGAAAGCCAGGGGAGCAAACGGGG
rnacentral:rRNA from 1 species